rnacentral:rRNA from 1 species
CACGUAGGGUGCGAGCGUUGUCCGGAAUUAUUGGGCGUAAAGAGCUCGUAGGCGGUGUGUCGCGUCGGCCGUGAAAACCUGCAGCUUAACUGUGGGCUUGCGGUCGAUACGGGCAUCACUGGAGUUCGGCAGGGGAGACUGGAAUUCCUGGUGUAGCGGUGAAAUGCGCAGAUAUCAGGAGGAACACCGGUGGCGAAGGCGGGUCUCUGGGCCGAAAUUGACGCUGAGGCGCGAAAGCCAGGGGAGCAAACGGG